rnacentral:rRNA from 1 species
UACGGGGGGAGCAAGCGUUGUUCGGAUUUACUGGGCGUAAAGGGCGCGUAGGCGGCCAGCACAAGUCAGUUGUGAAAUCUCCGGGCUUAACUCGGAAAGGUCAACUGAUACUGUGCGGCUAGAGUGCAGAAGGGGCAACUGGAAUUCUCGGUGUAGCGGUGAAAUGCGUAGAGAUCGGGAAGAACAUCGGUGGCGAAAGCGCUCUACUGGACCGCAACUGACACUCAGGGACGAAAGCUAGGGGAGCGAAUGGG